rnacentral:rRNA from 1 species
GACGAACGCUGGCGGCGUGCUUAACACAUGCAAGUCGAGGGUAGCAAUACACUGGCGCAAGGGUGCGUAACGCGUAGAUUAUCUGCCCCAUACACUAACAUAACGCUUGGAAACGGGUGCUAAUAUUAGAUGAGGUGCUUCGGCAUCAAAGUUUCGACGGUAUGGGAUGAGUCUGCGUCUGAUUAGCUAGUUGGUAGUGUAAUGGACUACCAAGGCGACGAUCAGUAGCUGGUCUGAGAGGACGAUCAGCCACACUGGAACUGAGACACGGUCCAGACUCCUACGGGAGGCAGCAGUGAGGAAUUUUGCGCAAUGGACGAAAGUCUGAUGGAGCGACACCGCGUGAAGGAUGAAGCCUUUAACUAGGUGUAAACUUCUGUUAUGAGGGACGAAAUUUUUGACGGUACCUCAUGAGAAAGCACCGGCUAAUUCUGUGCCAGCAGCCGCGGUAAU